rnacentral:rRNA from 1 species
GAGUUUGAUCGUGGCUCAGAUUGAACGCUGGCGGCAUGCCUUACACAUGCAAGUCGAACGGCAGCACGGGAGCUUGCUCCUGGUGGCGAGUGGCGAACGGGUGAGUAAUGCAUCGGAACGUAUCCUGGAGUGGGGGAUAACGUAGCGAAAGUUACGCUAAUACCGCAUACUCUGUGAGCAGGAAAGCGGGGGACCUUCGGGCCUCGCGCUCUUGGAGCGGCCGAUGUCGGAUUAGCUAGUUGGUGAGGUAAAGGCUCACCAAGGCGACGAUCCGUAGCAGGUCUGAGAGGAUGAUCUGCCACACUGGAACUGAGACACGGUCCAGACUCCUACGGGAGGCAGCAGUGGGGAAUUUUGGACAAUGGGGGCAACCCUGAUCCAGCCAUGCCGCGUGAGUGAAGAAGGCCUCGGUUGUAAG